rnacentral:precursor_RNA from 7 species
GACCAGCAAGAAUAAAAUGGGUUCCUAGGAAGAGGUAGUAGGUUGCAUAGUUUUAGGGCAGAGAUUUUGCCCACAAGGAGUUAACUAUACGACCUGCUGCCUUUCUUAGGGCCUUAUUAUACCAGCAUACGUUUC